UGAAAAUAUUUGAAAUAUUAAAAGAAAAAUCCUCGAAACAUGUAUUUCUAAAGACAAAGUUGCCAGAACUGGCCAGGAGAGGGAGACAGAGACCACGCUGUGAAUAGCGUUCGCUGUUAAAAUAGCGUUUGCUAUAAUCGGCGUCUUUCAGCAUCCAAGGGGAGGGGCGCUGGAACUGAUCCCCUGCAAAUAUGGGGGUCCUCCUGGACACUCAUCGUCCGGCAAAGGUAAGAUGUGUCUUUGUGGCUCACGUUUUGUGUUCCUGUUCUAACACAAGAGAGGUGAGGACGGCAGGAAAGGACAUGUAGAAAAAUCUUAACUCUGUUGCUUCCAGAGUCUCUCGUUUAACUCGCUCUCUUUCUCGUUCUCUUGCUUGCUGGCAUCUUCAAGGUCGCACGUUUAGAGGCGGAGCUGUGCCAGGCACAGAAGAUGAAGCCAGACAAGGUGGAUGAAGACACGGCAGACUUCCAAAAGAGGCUGAAGAUUCACCAAGAGAAAGUCAGAGCACUGGAAAGCAAACUUUCCGAGGUGGAGAAACAGAGGGAGCAACUGGCCGGGGACCUGGAAGUAACGCAGAAGGCGCUGAACGAGGAGAAGAAGGUGAGUUGUCCCCCACCCGCGUGGCGGCCGGCGGCGGAAUCUUUAUGGCUGAAUCUCCAGAGACCAUAGCAGAAUCC
rnacentral:lncRNA from 1 species